UUGGUUGGUUUAAAAUGGUUAACUGAAGGGUCUUUAAGGGUAUUUUUUUUUAGUGGUUAAGUUUGGAGACUUGGAAGGUUGUAAAUUGUUAAGUAUAGGGACUUUAAGGGUUCUUUAUUCUUUUGGAAGUGGUUAUAUUGGGUGACUUGUUAGGUUGAAAAUUGUUAAGGCAAGGAAUUUAAAUGUGUUUUUUUGUUUGUUUUAAAAGUGGUAAUAUUUGAUGAGUUGAAAGGUUGAAAAUGAUUAUGUGUAGCGACUUUAAAGGUGUUUUUUGUUUUAAAUGUUGUUUUGUUUGGUGAGUUGUUAGAUCGAAAAAGGUUAUGUGUAGGAACUUUAAAAGUGCUUUUCUUUUUAGAAAAUGGUUAUGUUUGGUGACUUGGUAGGUUGAAAAUGGUUAAN
rnacentral:lncRNA from 1 species